rnacentral:rRNA from 1 species
UACGUAGGGUGCGAGCGUUGUCCGGAAUUAUUGGGCGUAAAGAGCUCGUAGGCGGUUUGUUGCGUCGGCCGUGAAAACCUGCAGCUUAACUGUGGGCCUGCGGUCGAUACGGGCAGACUUGAGUUCGGUAGGGGAGACUGGAAUUCCUGGUGUAGCGGUGAAAUGCGCAGAUAUCAGGAGGAACACCGGUGGCGAAGGCGGGUCUCUGGGCCGAUACUGACACUGAGGUGCGAAAGCGUGGGGAGCAAACAGG